rnacentral:rRNA from 1 species
UAAUAGCGUAUAUUAAAGUUGUUGCAGUUAAAAAGCUCGUAGUUGAAUUUUUGCUUGCCGCCGAUGUCGGAACUUCCGUACGUUCGGCGGCGUGCAUCCUUGGGUGGAACCUGUGUGGCAUUAGGUUGUCGUGCAGGGGAUGCUCAUCGUUUACUGUGAAAAAAUUAGAGUGUUCAAAGCAGGCUUACGCCGUUGAAUAUAUUAGCAUGGAAUAAUAAGAUAGGACCUUGGUACUAUUUUGUUGGUUUGCGCACCGAGGUAAUGAUUAACAGGGACAGUUGGGGGUAUUCGUAUUCCAUUGUCAGAGGUGAAAUUCUUGGAUUUCUGGAAGACGAACUACUGCGAAAGCAUUUACCAAGGAUGUUUUCAUUAA